rnacentral:rRNA from 1 species
UUCGGACCUCCGAUCAAGCAAGNGG